rnacentral:rRNA from 1 species
AGCGAACGCUGGCGGCAUGCCUAACACAUGCAAGUCGAACGAGACCUUCGGGUCUAGUGGCGCACGGGUGCGUAACGCGUGGGAACCUGCCCUUAGGUUCGGAGUAACUCCCCGAAAGGGGUGCUAAUACCGGAUAAUGUCUUCGGACCAAAGAUUUAUCGCCUUUGGAUGGGCCCGCGUUGGAUUAGCUAGUUGGUAGGGUAAAAGCCUACCAAGGCGACGGUCCAUAGCUGGUCUGAGAGGAUGAUCAGCCACACUGGGACUGAGACACGGCCCAGACUCCUACGGGAGGCAGCAGUGGGGAAUAUUGUACAAUGGGCGAAAGCCUGAUCCAGCAAUGCCGCGUGAGUGAUGAAGGCCUUAGGGUUGUAAAGCUCUUUUACCCGGGAUGAUAAUGACAGUACCGGGAGAAUAAGCUCCGGCUAACUCCGUG